rnacentral:rRNA from 1 species
UACGUAGGGUGCAAGCGUUAAUCGGAAUUACUGGGCGUAAAGCGUGCGCAGGCGGUUGUGCAAGACAGAUGUGAAAUCCCCGGGCUCAACCUGGGAACUGCAUUUGUGACUGCACGGCUAGAGUGUGUCAGAGGGGGGUAGAAUUCCGCGUGUAGCAGUGAAAUGCGUAGAUAUGUGGAGGAAUACCGAUGGCGAAGGCAGCCCCCUGGGAUGACACUGACGCUCAUGCACGAAAGCGUGGGGAGCAAACAGG